rnacentral:rRNA from 1 species
ACGCUCGACACCUACGGGUGGCAGCAGUAGGGAAUCUUCCACAAUGGGCGCAAGCCUGAUGGAGCAACACCGCGUGAGUGAAGAAGGGUUUCGGCUCGUAAAGCUCUGUUGUUGGAGAAGAACGUGCGUGAGAGUAACUGUUCACGCAGUGACGGUAUCCAACCAGAAAGUCACGGCUAACUACGUGCCGGCAGCCGCGGUAAUCUGAGCGGGCUGGCAAGGC